GCAGAGUAGGACAGUGCGCGUUAAGUGCCGGGUGAACAGGGAGUUGUCAUCUGGACGAAAAGAAAUAUCUUGCGGUGCAUUGUCCGCAUCCCGCUGC
rnacentral:ncRNA from 1 species